ensembl:miRNA mdo-mir-12330 mdo-mir-12330
AAGGAUAUAUGGCCUUGGGUUAUAUAGUCCAUUCCUCCUCUACUUGACCCAAGAUCAUAUAUCCUUUU